rnacentral:tRNA from 1 species
GCCGGAGUGGCGGAAUCGGUAGACGCGUGCGACUCAAAAUCGCAUCUCGCAAGGGGUGAGGGUUCAAGUCCCUCCUCCGGCA